rnacentral:lncRNA from 1 species
GGGGCCCGGCGCCCGCGCGAGGUGGACGGUGUUCUUGGAGACGCGGCGGGCCGGGCCGAGCCUGCAGCCCCCUGGGCGGUCGCCUUCUUCUCCUCUCCCGUCUUUUAUCUUAGUGUUGACAUUUGGUUUGCAGUUACAGUACUCUUAAGAUUGAUUUCUAAAGAUAUGGUUUUCAUCCAGCUUCAUCAACGCACAUAAAUUUUCUCCUUUUUGGACUCCUGUUUUAUAUCACAAUGCAACAAACUUUAGAACUAGCUUUGGAUCGUGCAGAGUAUGUCAUUGAAAGUGCCCGGCAGAGACCUCCUAAAAGGAAAUACCUAUCUAGUGGAAGAAAAUCUAUAUUUCAAAAACUUUAUGACUUAUAUAUUGAAGAAUGUGAAAAAGAGCCUGAGGUUAAGAAAUUAAGAAGAAAUGUGAACUUAUUAGAGAAGCUUGUUAUGCAAGAGACAUUGUCAUGUUUAGUGGUCAACCUAUACCCGGGAAAUGAGGGAUAUUCUCUGAUGCUCAGGGGAAAAAAUGGAUCAGAUUCUGAGACCAUUCGACUGCCUUAUGAAGAGGGAGAAUUGCUUGAAUACUUGGAUGCAGAAGAAUUACCUCCAAUUUUGGUUGAUCUCCUAGAAAAAUCUCAGGUUAAUAUUUUUCAUUGUGGAUGCGUCAUAGCAGAAAUACGUGACUAUAGGCAGUCCAGUAACAUGAAAUCUCCUGGUUACCAAAGUAGGCACAUUCUGUUACGUCCAACAAUGCAGACUUUAAUCUGUGAUGUACAUUCAAUAACAAGUGAUAACCAUAAGUGGACCCAGGAAGACAAACUUUUGCUUGAGAGCCAAUUGAUUCUGGCUACAGCGGAGCCGCUGUGUCUUGAUCCUUCCGUAGCUGUCACCUGCACUGCAAACAGACUGCUCUAUAACAGGCAAAAGAUGAACACACGCCCAAUGAAACGAUGUUUCAAGAGAUAUUCCAGGUCCUCUCUGAAUCGGCAACAGGAUAUGUCUCAUGGUCCACCUCCUCCUCAGCUAAAAUUACUUGAUUUCUUACAAAAAAGAAAGGAAAGAAAAGCAGGUCAGCAUUAUGACCUCAAAAUUUCUAAAGCAGGAAAUUGUGUAGAUAUGUGGAAACGGAGUCCCUGUAAUUUGGCUGUACCUUCUGAGGUGGAUGUGGAAAAAUAUGCCAAAGUAGAAAAAUCUAUCAAGUCUGAUGACUCACAACCAACAGUCUGGCCAGCCCAUGAUGUAAAAGAUGACUAUAUAUUUGAAUGUGAAGCUGGUAAUCAGUAUCAGAAAACAAAGCUGACCAUUUUGCAGUCACUUGGUGAUCCACUUUACUAUGGUAAAAUCCAGCCAUGUAAAGAAGAUGAGGAGAGUGACAGUCCGAUGUCACCGUCCCACUUCUCCACAGAUGAUCAUUCAAAUUGGUUCGUUAUUGGAUCAAAGACUGAUGCUGAGAGAGUAGUCAAUCAGUACCAGGAAUUGGUCCAGAAUGAAGCCAAAUGUCCAGUGAAGAUGUCACAUAGCUCCAGUGGCUCAGCCAGCUUGAGUCAGCUUUCUCCAGGGAAAGAAACAGAACAGCCUGAGACCGUGUCAGUUCAGUCUUCAGUACUGGGGAAGGGAGUGAAACAUCGACCUCCACCCAUCAAACUUCCCUCAACCUCAGGAAAUAGUUCCUCAGGUAACUAUUUUACACCACAACAGGCCAGCAGCUUUCUUAAAUCUCCAACUCCUCCUCCUGCUUCUAAGCCACCAAGUCUUUCUCGGAAGUCAUCCGUGGAUCUUAAUCAAGUUAGCAUGCUUUCUCCAGCUGCCCUGUCACCUGCCAGUUCAUCACAAAGAACCACAGCCACCCAGGUCAUGGCAAACUCUGCUGGACUUAACUUCAUCAAUGUAGUGGGCUCUGUUUGUGGAGCUCAAGCUUUGAUGAGUGGUUCAAACCCUAUGCUGGGCUGUAACACUGGUGCCAUAACUCCUGCAGGAAUAAACCUGAGUGGCCUUCUACCCUCAGGGGGUCUGCUACCAAAUGCAUUGCCGGGUGCAAUGCAGACAGCCUCUCAAGCAGGUGUUCCAUUUGGUUUAAAAAAUACUUCAAGUCUCAGGCCCUUAAAUCUACUCCAGCUUCCAGGCGGCUCGCUCAUUUUUAACACUCUGCAGCAACAGCAGCAGCAGCAGCUCUCCCAGUUUACACCACAGCAGCCUCAGCCCCAGCAACCCACAACUUCUAGUCCUCAACAGCCUGGGGAGCAGGGUUCUGAACAAAGUUUGACCAGUCAAGAACAAGCCUUAUCUGCUCAGCAUGCUGCAGUUAUUAACCUUGCCGGAGUAGGAAGCUUUAUGCAUUCACAGGCAGCUGCAGUUACGAUUCUUGCAGCAUCAAAUGGCUAUGGCAGCAGCAGCAGCACAAACAGCUCAGCUACAUCGUCAUCGGCACACAGGCAGCCAGGAGCAUUGAAUCAAAAGGAUUGA